rnacentral:rRNA from 1 species
GACGAACGCUGGCGGCGUGCCUAACACAUGCAAGUCGAACGAAGUGGCGAACGGGCGAGUAAUACGUGGGUAACCUGCUCUCCUUUGUGGGAUAAGCCUUGGAAACGGGGUCUAAUACCGAAUAAAGGGGGAGGGGUUCGCGGCCUAUCAGCUUGUUGGUGGGGUGUUGGCCUAUCAAGGCGUUGACGGGUAGCCGGCCUGAGAGGGGGACCGGCCACAUUGGGACUGAGAUACGGCCCGGACUCGUACGGGAGGCAGCAGUGGGGGAUAUUGCACAAUGGGCGAAAGCCUGCUGCAGCGGCGCCGCGUGGGUGAUGAAGGCUUUGGGGUUGUAAACCUCUUUCGCUCUCGAACGGGUAGGUGGAGAAGAAGCGCCGGCUAACUACGGGCCAGCAGCCGCGGUAAUAC